rnacentral:rRNA from 1 species
UAUUAUUCUUAAAUAUAUUUAUUCCUAGGUUAGUAAUAGAUAUUUACUUAAAAGCUAAAAAAUUUGGCGGUAAUUUAAUCUUUUCAGAGGAACUUGUUUUUUAAUCGAUAAUCCCCGUAAUAUCUUACUUGUUCUAAUAAAGUUUGUAUACCAUCAUUAUCAGGUAAUUUUAAAAAAAAGAAUUUCUAAAUUUAAAAGUAAUAUAAAAAUUAGAUCAUGGUGCAGCUGAUGAAUAAGUCAAAAUGAGUUACAAUAAAAUAUUUUAUACGGAUAGUAAAGGAAGAAUUGCUAUGAAGGAGGAUUUGGUAGUAUUAAGAAUUUAAUAUGUUCUUAAGAUGAUAGCUCUAAAUUAUGUACAUAU